AGAGGAUCUGCUUAACCUCAGGUUUGUAGUAUUUAGGUCAUACAUGCCGCAAUUUGGUUGACAUGCUUGAGCGUGUAAUCACACGAAUGGUCACUAAAGAACUAAUAGAUUUAGGCAAGUUCCAGUCAAAUUGACAUUGGUUUCCUGUUGUUGGUGCAGUGGUUCCUGUUGCAGAUGUAAUAAGAGUUCGCACAGGUGAGCGGGGAGAAUAGGCUGAGAGGAUGAUGGGAGGCCGGACUGACAUGUUCUCUGCUGCUGAAUCACCAGCUGCUUAAGUUUCUGAAUGGAGGACGUGGGAAUUAACCAAAAUGUACUAGCCGGCUAGUGGUUGAAGAGGGAAAACCGAGGGGGGAAGUGGCCAGGAUUUGGGUGGAAGACCAUUGCUUGAAAAAACGAUGGUAUGUAAAUUAAAAUAAAGGUACAAGGAGGAGAUGCUGCAGAGCAGCAGAAUUGCAAAUCGUCUUGUAUCCCAACCCUUGUCUUGCAAGAGGCGAGGAAAAUAAAAAGGUUUAUGAUAGUAAUUCCAAUUUUUAAUUAGGCCAAAAUCUAGAUAGAUCCAGUUUUUAAGGUCUAAUGAUCCAAAUUGUGUCAGACCAUUUGAUGAGAUGGUGUAGUACAAUUUAGAGCAUUGUGUUUUUUAAGAUCAGGGCUAUCCAAGUAUGAACCAUUUAAUGGCCAAAACUAAAUAAACAAAAAAAAAGGGGGUCAAAUCAGUAAAAAAUUUUCCCUCUUUUUUUU